rnacentral:rRNA from 1 species
GGUAGCGAAAUUCCUUGUCGGGUAAGUUCCGACCUGCACGAAUGGCGUAACGAUGGCCACACUGUCUCCACCCGAGACUCAGUGAAAUUGAAAUCGCUGUGAAGAUGCAGUGUACCCGCGGCGGGACGAAAAGACCCCGUGCACCUUAACUAUAAUUUUAUAUUGAAAGGGGUAAUUUAGUAUGAAGAAUAAUUAGGAGUUUAUGAUCUAUGUAUUUUUUUAUACAUUAGGGAGACGUUUGUGCUAUACUAGUUAUUAAAUUAGUAUCUUUUCUAAUUUUUAAGAAAAAAGUGUAUGAUUGGUAGUUUAGCUGGGGCGGCUUCCUCCAAAAGAGUAACGGAGGAGUACAAAGACAAUUUCAAUUUAAUGUCAAUUAAAUUUGUGAGCGUAAUGGUAUAAAAUUGUUUAACUGUAAGAUUUUACAAAUCAAAACAGAGAUAAUAGCUCGGUCAUAGUGAUCCAGUAACACAGAAUGGAAUGGUUAUUGCUUAACGGAUAAAAGGUACGCCGGGGAUAACAGGCUAAUUGUCCUUGAGAGGCCAUAUCGACGGGAUAGUUUGGC